GACCAUUGUGAGCACCGGUUGAUUCCGAUGAAGGGGUGCAAAGUAAAUUGCUGCGGCUCAAGCAGGAUAAUUGCUCCUGUAACGCCUGGACCUUGAUGACGGAUGUCUCCUCCAAUUCUCCAUCUCCAAUCGUGUGCCGGUGAUAUUCGGCGGUGAGCUGUGAGGCUGACCGGCUCCAACAGAGACCACGUACCUACUCGCGAUCGAAAAUCCCGG